UGCAAUAAAAUUCUUGUCAGAGACAAAAUGUUCAGAUAUGAUGAGCUCAUUAUUGCAAACCUUUCCCAAAUCCACAGGGCAAAGCAGUCGCUGUACAGAGACAUAUUUCCUGUAUACCGCCUUAAGGUUGAAAAGACAUCUCAGAAUUUGUUGUUUUGGUUUCCGUCAAAAGAUCAUUUUUCAAACCACAUGUAACCUUUUCAUCUUUUAGUCAGAGCUGAUACCUCUGGCAACUCCCUACAAAUGUCAAGAAAUCCGCUUCCUCUUCCACUCAGCGCUCUUCUACUAUCUGAGAUAUGGGGGAAAAAAUGCUCAAAAUACUUCAUAGGCUUCCUUUGAAGAGUUUAACUUCCUGGUGUCCUCCUUCCUUGAUGGGUACAAUACAUCAUGUCCCAACUCUCACAAAACCUGUAUGUUCCCGCCACUUGAGAAGGGAACCACCACAAGAUGACAUGCUCCUCACACGAACCCUAUGCUGGGAAGGAAAUGUGACAAAUUGCACCCAACACGUUCAGGGUAAUCAAAGAUUAUUAAACAGUCAUGUUAUCAGUUUAUGAAAAAAAAUAUGGGUCAUGAUGAAUACCUGUGGGAGCAGAAGCUGUUGUUUGUGUUUUAAAUUUAGUCUAAGAUCAUAAACGGAUACCAAGCUUCAUCCACAAGCUUCACUAGAACUGAUUUUCUAGAUUGCUACAUUCUCGCCAUUUCAGUACCCAGAGGGUGGG